rnacentral:tRNA from 1 species
GGACAGGCAGAUAGCUCAGUGAUUGAGCGUCGGGCUUGGGACCGAAAUGUACCAGGUUCGAAUUCUGGCUGUCUCCA